rnacentral:rRNA from 1 species
GAUGAACGCUGACAGAAUGCUUAACACAUGCAAGUCAUUGGCGAAGCUGCGCUUGCGCAGUCUAGCCAAGGCGGACGGGUGAGUAACGCGUAAGGAACUUGCCCUGCAGACAGGGAUAACAGACGGAAACGACUGAUAACACCUGGUAUUAUCAGGCUGGCGCAUGCCGGCCUGAUGAAAGGAGACGCUGCAGGAGAGCCUUGCGUCCUAUUAGCUAGUUGGUGGGGUAACGGCCCACCAAGGCGAUGAUAGGUAGCCGGCCUGAGAGGGUGAACGGCCACAAGGGGACUGAGGUACGGCCCUUACUCCUACGGGAGGCAGCAGUGGGGAAUAUUGGACAAUGGGGGCAACCCUGAUCCAGCAAUUCUGUGUGCACGAAGAAGGUUUUCGGAUUGUAAAGUGCUUUCAGCAGGGAAGAAGAAAGUGACGGUACCUGCAGAAGAAGCGACGGCUAAAUACGUG